rnacentral:other from 1 species
UGUACCCUGUGUUAAUAGUAAUUGAAGUUAAUUUUAAUGCCAACAAAUUAACUUUGGGAGUCUUUACUCUGACUGUGGUGUAAAUGCCCUUUAAAGGGACUUACUAAUCGGCAGGUAGGAAUCCGCCUUACUUCGGGUAGGGCAUAAAAACUUCAAUCAAUUACGUUAAUAUGGGGUAUUG